UACGGAGGGUGCGAGCGUUGUCCGGAAUCACUGGGCGUAAAGGGUGCGUAGGCGGCCCUGUAAGUCAGUGGUGAAAUACUGCAGCUUAACUGUAGCAUUGCCAUUGAUACUGUAGGGCUUGAGUACAGAUGAGGUAGGCGGAAUUGAUGGUGUAGCGGUGAAAUGCAUAGAUACCAUCAAGAACACCGAUUGCGAAGGCAGCUUACUAAGCUGUAAACUGACGCUGAGGCACGAAAGCGUGGGGAUCGAACAGG
rnacentral:rRNA from 1 species